rnacentral:rRNA from 1 species
AUACGGAGGGUGCAAGCGUUAAUCGGAAUUACUGGGCGUAAAGCGCACGCAGGCGGUCUGUCAAGUCGGAUGUGAAAUCCCCGGGCUCAACCUGGGAACUGCAUUCGAAACUGGCAGGCUUGAGUCUUGUAGAGGGGGGUAGAAUUCCAGGUGUAGCGGUGAAAUGCGUAGAGAUCUGGAGGAAUACCGGUGGCGAAGGCGGCCCCCUGGACAAAGACUGACGCUCAGGUGCGAAAGCGUGGGGAGCAAACAGGAUUAGAUACCCUGGUAGUCCACGCCGUAAACGAUGUCUACUUGGAGGUUGUGCCCUUGAGGCGUGGCUUCCGGAGCUAACGCGUUAAGUAGACCGCCUGGGGAGUACGGCCGCAAGGUUAAA